rnacentral:rRNA from 1 species
UACAGAGGUCUCAAGCGUUGUUCGGAUUCAUUGGGCGUAAAGGGUGCGUAGGUGGCGCUGUAAGUCAGGUGUGAAAUUUCGGAGCUCAACUCCGAAACUGCAUUUGAUACUGCGGUGCUUGAGGACUGGAGAGGAGACUGGAAUUCACGGUGUAGCAGUGAAAUGCGUAGAUAUCGUGAGGAAGACCAGUGGCGAAGGCGGGUCUCUGGACAGUUCCUGACAC